UACGGAGGGUGCGAGCGUUGUCCGGAAUCACUGGGCGUAAAGGGCGCGUGAGGCGGCUUCUUAAGCGGGCGGUGAAAGCCCGGGGCUCAACCCCGGGUCGGCCGUGCGAACUGGGAAGCUCGAGCCCACUAGAGGCAGGCGGAAUUCCGGGUGUAGCGGUGGAAUGCGUAGAGAUCCGGAAGAACACCGGUGGCGAAGGCGGCCUGCUGGGGUGGAGCUGACGCUGAGGCGCGACAGCGUGGGGAGCAACAGG
rnacentral:rRNA from 1 species